GCUGGAAUCGCUAGUAAUCGCGGAUCAGAAUGCCGCGGUGAAUACGUUCCCGGGUCUUGUACACACCGCCCGUCACACCAUGAGAGUUGGGAAUACCCGAAGCCUGUGAGCUAACUUUUAGAGGCAGCAGUCGAAGGUAGAAUCAAUGAUUGGGGUGAAGUCGUAACAAGGUACC
rnacentral:rRNA from 1 species